rnacentral:rRNA from 1 species
UACGGGGGGGGCAAGCGUUGUUCGGAAUUACUGGGCGUAAAGGGCUCGUAGGCGGCCAACUAAGUCAGACGUGAAAUCCCUCGGCUUAACCGGGGAACUGCGUCUGAUACUGGAUGGCUAGAGUUUGGGAGAGGGAUGCGGAAUUCCAGGUGUAGCGGUGAAAUGCGUAGAUAUCUGGAGGAACACCGGUGGCGAAGGCGGCAUCCUGGACCAACACUGACGCUGAGGAGCGAAAGCCAGGGGAGCAAACGGGG